CCGAUUCACAAGUCAUAUGUUGGGAGAACAUAUAUUUGGUGGAUGUAUUAUGGACUUCUACCUCUCAAUUCAGUAGAUGCGGAUAACUGUGGAAAGACAUCUCUGGACAAAUCCAAUUAAUGGAAGCACAUAACAUAAGAUGACAGAAAUCAACUUUGUAUUUAGAAUUAGAAUCUCUCACAUGGGUGAUGGAGAAUAUGUUACGUCAUUCAAUUUGUCAGAAUUUUUUUUUUUUUUAAUUCUUUAUUUAUUUAUAAUCUGGCAGAGAAACUACAACGAUACACCUACUAAGGUGCCCACAAACCGGUAUUUUUAAAAAAGUAAACAAACUCCACAGAGCCCUAUCUAUACAAGAGCGAGCAAACUACUUACCAAAAAUACCUCAACUCCUUCGAGACCUUCAACGUUUCUCUCCUGCAAACUGCUGAAACUCUUCACUUCUCCUUAACCUAAAAUAGACUGAACCAAGUGCCAAGCAGAGUGGUAUCUGUCCUUCUAGAGCUGUGCACUCUAGAUAGAGGGUCUAACCGUGCUUGAAUAACUUGUUUCAUCUCAAGAAUCACUGCUUGUGCCGAGCGAAAAUUCUGAUUAUGAAUCUGAGUGUUCCUCUCUUUCCAAAUACAAUAUAAAGCUGCCUGGUACACGAGCUUAAUUAUCAGCUUCUUAAAC
rnacentral:lncRNA from 1 species